rnacentral:rRNA from 1 species
GCGAAAGCAGGUCAUAGUGAUCCGGUGGUUCUGAAUGGAAGGGCCAUCGCUCAACGGAUAAAAGGUACUCCGGGGAUAACAGGCUGAUACCGCCCAAGAGUUCAUAUCGACGGCGGUGUUUGGCACCUCGAUGUCGGCUCAUCACAUCCUGGGGCUGAAGUAGGUCCCAAGGGUAUGGCUGUUCGCCAUUUAAAGUGGUACGCGAGCUGGGUUUAGAACGUCGUGAGACAGUUCGGUCCCUAUCUGCCGUGGGCGCUGGAGAACUGAGGGGGGCUGCUCCUAGUACGAGAGGACCGGAGUGGACGCAUCACUGGUGUUCGGGUUGUCAUGCCAAUGGCACUGCCCGGUAGCUAAAUGCGGAAGAGAUAAGUGCUGAAAGCAUCUAAGCACGAAACUUGCCCCGAGAUGAGUUCUCCCUGACUCCUUGAGAGUCCUGAAGGAACGUUGAAGACGACGACGUUGAUAGGCCGGGUGUGUAAGCGCAGCGAUGCGUUGAGCUAACCGGUACUAAUGAACCGUGAGG